UGAAAACAAGUCUUAGCUGAAACAGGCAGUAAAGGUUCUUCAUAAUAGUAAUCCAAAGUCUGCAUUUUGUAAGAAAUAUUUCACAUUAUAUAUUCCUGUUCAAGCACGAAAUAGGCCAAACAAUAGUUGCAACUCGCAAGGUCCCUAAGAACAUCGAACCCGAAGAGAUGCCAAGUUCAAAAAAUUAACUAUAGCAAAUCGUAAAAAUUUUACAAUAUCUAAUAAUUUAAGCCUAAAAGCCCAAAUCAUGCAGCCAGCUUCAUUGUUGCAUAACUUGCGGUACAGCUAUGAGAUAUCCUUCUUUCUGAAGAAGAUCGAACAGCAAAUUGAAAGCUAUUGUGAAGCACCGACUUCCCGCAUGCUUUUUGAUGGAACUUUAGAAUCACUGCUAUCACUUUCUUCCUUUCUGCCAAACUCCAUUCCUUGGAAUGUCACGCUAGAUGAUCUAUACUGACUACCAAAGGCAGUGCCAAAGCCCCAUCCAAGACCUAGACCAACCCCACAGCCACCGCCUAUGAAAAAACAGAACAAUUCCAAGUUAUUAUUCAACAUCAAUAUAGGGAUGUCAAACAUUCAUUAACUAAAAUUUCACACGAUAGAUUAAUUGAGAUUUUGCUGUGAGUACAGAGAGAAUUAAGUUGUGUACCUGCACCCAUACCCAAGAUGUUCAAAGGCAUGCCUGCACCAUGCAAUCAUCAAACAUUAGCAAAAAAG
rnacentral:lncRNA from 1 species